CUAAAAAUGGGAGAGAUCUGUUUGCGUCAAAAAUGCGUCCUUUUGCGCCACAACAUUUUUUCUCAAAUGCCACGUUUGCGCCAUAUGUUCUAAAAUUACAUGGUAUCAUUUGCGCCAAAAAUAAAACAUACGAUUUCGACAAUUAGAAGAAAAAUUACUUCCCUUACUCCUUUAUUUAGACUUGGAACCUUCAGUUUACAC
rnacentral:lncRNA from 1 species